GACGGAGGGUGCAAGCGUUGUUCGGAAUUACUGGGCGUAAAGGGCGCGUAGGCGGUCUGCUAAGUUCGGUGUGAAAGCCCUGGGCUCAACCCAGGAAGUGCACUCGAUACUGCCAUGGCUAGAGUCCGGUAGGGGACCACGGAAUUCCUGGUGUAGCGGUGAAAUGCGCAGAUAUCAGGAGGAACACCGGAGGCGAAGGCGGCUCUCUGGGCCUUACCUGACGCUGAGGAGCGAAAGCGUGGGUAGCGAACAGG
rnacentral:rRNA from 1 species